rnacentral:rRNA from 1 species
UACGUAGGGGGCAAGCGUUGUCCGGAUUUAUUGGGCGUAAAGCGCACGCAGGCGGUCUGCCAAGUUCGGAGUGACAGUUUCCAGCUUAACUGGAAAAGGUCUUCGAAAACUGGUGGACUUGAGGACUUGAGGGGGAGACGGAAUUCCGGGUGGAGCGGUGAAAUGCGUAGAGAUCCGGAGGAACACCGAAGGCGAAGGCAGUCUCCUGGCAAGUUACUGACGCUCAGGUGCGAAAGCUAGGGGAGCGAACAGGAUUAGAUACCCUGGUAGUCCUAGCCGUAAACGAUGACCACUAGGCGUGGGAGGUAUCGACCCCUUCCGUGCCGCAGCUUACGCAAUAAGUGGUCCGCCUGGGGAGUACGGUCGCAAGAUUAAA